GGCAGCGGGAAGUAGUUUACUACUUCGCCGGCGAGCGGCGGACGGGUGAGUAAUGUCUGGGGAUCUGCCUGAUGGAGGGGGAUAACUACUGGAAACGGUAGCUAAUACCGCAUGACCUCGUAAGAGCAAAGUGGGGGACCUUCGGGCCUCACGCCAUCGGAUGAACCCAGAUGGGAUUAGCUAGUAGGUGGGGUAAUGGCUCACCUAGGCGACGAUCCCUAGCUGGUCUGAGAGGAUGACCAGCCACACUGGAACUGAGACACGGUCCAGACUCCUACGGGAGGCAGCAGUGGGGAAUAUUGCACAAUGGGCGCAAGCCUGAUGCAGCCAUGCCGCGUGUGUGAAGAAGGCCUUCGGGUUGUAAAGCACUUUCAG
rnacentral:rRNA from 1 species